rnacentral:rRNA from 1 species
ACUGCUCAGUAACACGUAGUCAAUCUACCCUAUGGACGGGAAUAACCUCGGGAAACUGAGAAUAAUGCCCGAUAGAACAUUAUGCCUGGAAUGGUUUAUGUUUCAAAUGAUUUAUCGCCAUAGGAUGGGACUGCGGCCUAUCAGUUUGUUGGUGAGGUAAUGGCCCACCAAGACUAUUACAGGUACGGGCUCUGAGAGGAGUAGCCCGGAGAUGGGUACUGAGACACGGACCCAGGCCCUAUGGGGCGCAGCAGGCGAGAAAACUUUGCAAUGUGCGAAAGCACGACAAGGUUAAUCCGAGUGGUUUCUGCUAAAGAAACCUUUUGUCAGUCCUAGAAACACUAACGAAUAAGGGGUGGGCAAGUUCUGGUGUCAGCCGCCGCGGUAAAACCAGCACCUCAAGUGGUCAGGAUGAUUAUUGGGCCUAAAGCAUCCGUAGCCCGUUUUGUAAGUUUUCGGUUAAAUCCAUGCGCUUAACGUAUGGGCUGCCGGGAAUACUGCAUAACUAGGAAGUGGGAGAGGUAGACGGUACUCGGUAGGAAGGGGUAAAAUCCUUUGAUCUAUUGAUGACCACCUGUGGCGAAGGCGGUCUACCAGAACACGUUCGACGGUGAGGGAUGAAAGCUGGGGGAGCAAACCGGAUUAGAUACCCGGGUAGUCCCAGCUGUAAACUAUGCAAACUCAGUCAUGCAUUGGCUUAUGGCCAAUGCAGUGCUGCAGGGAAGCCGUUAAGUUUGCCGCCUGGGAAGUACGUACGCAAGUAUGAAACUUAAAGGAAUUGGCGGGGGAGCAC